rnacentral:rRNA from 1 species
UACGUAGGGUGCGAGCGUUGUCCGGAAUCAUUGGGCGUAAAGAGCUUGUAGGCGGUUUGUCGCGUCUGCUGUGAAAAUCCGGGGCUCAACCCCGGACUUGCAGUGGGUACGGGCAGACUAGAGUGUGGUAGGGGAGACUGGAAUUCCUGGUGUAGCGGUGGAAUGCGCAGAUAUCAGGAGGAACACCGAUGGCGAAGGCAGGUCUCUGGGCCGCAACUGACGCUGAGGAGCGAAAGCAUGGGGAGCGAACAGG